rnacentral:rRNA from 1 species
GACGAACGCUGGCGGCGUGCUUAACACAUGCAAGUCGUACGGUAAGGCCCUUUCGGGGGUACACGAGUGGCGAACGGGUGAGUAACACGUGAGUAACCUGCCCACAACUUUGGGAUAACGCUAGGAAACUGGUGCUAAUACUGGAUAUGUGCUCCUGCUGCAUGGUGGGGGUUGGAAAGCUCCGGCGGUUGUGGAUGGACUCGCGGCCUAUCAGCUUGUUGGUGGGGUAGUGGCCUACCAAGGCGGCGACGUGUAGCCGGCCUGAGAGGGUGACCGGCCACAUUGGGACUGAGAUACGGCCCAGACUCCUACGGGAGGCAGCAGUGGGGAAUAUUGCACAAUGGGCGCAAGCCUGAUGCAGCAACGCCGCGUGAGUGAUGAAGGCCUUAGGGUUGUAAAGCUCUUUUACCCGGGAUGAUAAUGACAGUACCGGGAGAAUAAGCUCCGGCUAACUCCGUG